rnacentral:rRNA from 1 species
GCAGCAACGCCGCGUGAGGGACGACGGCCUUCGGGUUGUAAACCUCUUUUAGCAGGGAAGAAGCGAAAGUGACGGUACCUGCAGAAAAAGCACCGGCUAACUACGUGCCAGCAGCCGCGGUAAUACGUAGGGUGCAAGCGUUGUCCGGAAUUAUUGGGCGUAAAGAGCUCGUAGGCGGUUUGUCGCGUCUGCUGUGAAAUCCCGAGGCUCAACCUCGGGCCUGCAGUGGGUACGGGCAGACUAGAGUGCGGUAGGGGAGAUUGGAAUUCCUGGUGUAGCGGUGGAAUGCGCAGAUAUCAGGAGGAACACCGAUGGCGAAGGCAGAUCUCUGGGCCGUAACUGACGCUGAGGAGCGAAAGCGUGGGGAGCGAACAGGAUUAGAUACCCUGGUAGUCCACGCCGUAAACGUUGGGAACUAGAUGUGGGGACCAUUCCACGGUCUCCGUGUCGCAGCUAACGCAUUAAGUUCCCCGCCUGGGGAGUACGGCCGCAAGGCUAAAACUCAAAGGAAUUGACGGGGGCCCGCACAAGCGGCGGAGCAUGCGGAUUAAUUCGAUGCAACGCGAAGAACCUUACCAAGGCUUGACAUAUACGAGAACGGGCCAGAAAUGGUCAACUCUUUG